GGUGGUUCUCGGUUGACACACCCCAGAAUUGGGCUCCCUCCUCUCUGGUUCCAGGUGCAUCACCCAAGAACCACA
rfam:Myotis lucifugus cont2.4299, whole genome shotgun sequence.